rnacentral:rRNA from 1 species
AUUGAACGCUGGCGGCAUGCUUUACACAUGCAAGUCGAACGGCAGCAUGGGUGCUUGCACCUGAUGGCGAGUGGCGAACGGGUGAGUAAUAUAUCGGAACGUACCCGGAAAUGGGGGAUAACGUAGCGAAAGUUACGCUAAUACCGCAUAUGCCCUGAGGGGGAAAGUGGGGGAUCCGCAAGGACCUCACGUUGUCGGAGCGGCCGAUAUCAGAUUAGCUAGUUGGUGAGGUAAAGGCUCACCAAGGCGACGAUCUGUAGCUGGUCUGAGAGGACGACCAGCCACACUGGGACUGAGACACGGCCCAGACUCCUACGGGAGGCAGCAGUGGGGAAUUUUGGACAAUGGGGGCAACCCUGAUCCAGCCAUGCCGCGUGAGUGAAGAAGGCCUUCGGGUUGUAAAGCUCUUUCGGACAGAAAGAAAUCGCACAGGAUAAUACCUUGUGUGGAUGACGGUACUGUAAGAAGAAGCACCGGCUAACUACGUGCCAGCCGCCGCUGUAACAC